rnacentral:ncRNA from 1 species
UAAGUUUUUACAUUUAGUUUAUUUAAAAAAUAAGUUAUGUUUAUUUGUAGUAAAAAGUAUUAGAAAAUUUUUAAUUAAGGAUUUAUAAAUUUAUAAGAGUAUAAACAAAAAUUGUGCCAGCAGUUGCGGUUAUACAAUUUAUACAAUUUUUUUGUUUUAAUUUUUAAUUAAUAGAAUUAAUUUUUAUAGGUUAAAAUAUUAGGUGAAAUUUUAUUUUAUUAUUAAUUGAGUUAAUGUUUAUGAAGUUAAGAUAUUUUGGAAAUAAACUGGGAUUAGAUACCCCAUUAUUCAAAAGGUAAAUUUUAAUUGUUGGAUGAUUAAUAGAUAAAUCUAAAAAAUCAAUUAAUUUGGCGGUUUUUUAUUCUAAUCAGGGGAACCUGUUCUGUAAUCGAUAAUCCACGAUUAAUUAUACUUUAAAUAUGCUUGUAUAUCGCCGUUAAAAAUUAUUUUUUAAAAAUUAUGAUUUAAAAAUAUUAUUUGAUUUAAAAUCAGGUCAAGGUGCAGCUUUUUAAAGUUUGAAAUGGGUUACAAUAAAUUUAUUUUGGGAUAAUUUUAGUAUUUAAUUUUUAAACUUGGAUUUGAAAGUAAAUUUAGUUUUUUACUAUUUUGAACUUGGCUCUAAAAUAUGUACAUAUCGCCCGUCACUUCCAUCAAAAGAUGGAAUAAGUCGUAACAUAGUAGAUUUACCGGAAGGUAAAUCUAGAAAGACAGGU